CGUUCAAACACAUCGCAGCAGAUCGCAAAAUCCCGCUCGAAUCGUACUUUGCUAUUUUUAUUGUCUAAAAGUGAGUCUCGUGCGUUUAGAAAUGUCUCAUGUUCAUUAUUGUCAGUGUCAUAAUGUAAACCUCGCGUAUAAUUCGUCGUUAUAAAUAAGUGCCGCGAUUUCGGUUAAUCUCUGGGAAUCGGAAACCUCUCGCUCUUGCACAUAUUUUGCGUUGUGCAACAAGAAUGCGCCACAUUAAUGAAUGAUCGUAAUCAGGAGAAAACGCUUAGGCGUCGAGCAUGAGCAUCGUCCCUGGUUUUCCCUCUCUAAUACUUGCCUGGUGUUCUUAAUUAGGGGGAUCUGCGUUAGAAGGACGGGAGCUUUUCGAGACGCCCGUUAUUGCCUCGUUAAAGGGAAUUGGACGGAAUGCAAACUUCUACGCCUUUCAUAUAAGCUGUAUGUAUAUUUCCUCAUUAUUUCGUGUGACGCCGCUUGGAGGUGCACAAUUAUCGAUUAACGAGAUACACCUAUGUGCGAGAGACAUACGCUACGUUUGUGAAACAGAUUAAGCUGACGUGCAGUCUAGCGUGAUAAAUAAUAAAGAGGAGAGAAUAAUGGCGAUAAUGCAGCUCGUAUGUACAUUACUGGACACGGUGAUGUUACUCUUAAACCAAGCAAAUUACAUUUUACAAGUUUGCGAGUUCGGACGCGUCUCGAAUUUAAGCCGGUGAUAACAAAUUCGUUUCUGGGGAGAACAGAGGACACUCGCAACUUUAAUACAGCAUCAACGCCAACCCCGCAUUGAUGAAAAUGUCAUAUGGAGCGAAUGCGCGUCAAGUGUGUCUAUUUAUUG